rnacentral:lncRNA from 1 species
UGGUGAUCAGCAAUUUAUCGUGUAUAGUGGUAGCCUGGAUAAAUCAGUGAAGAUUUGGAGAGUGUUACCAUGGCCACCACCGAUGCAAGCCCAAGUUCAAGACCAAUCCCAAUGGGGUAUGAGUUAGUAGAGCUGAAUUUAGGAUGUGGAGUAUGUGGAUUCAAAACGAGCUAUGGAGAUUUGGAGUGUGCCACCAUGGCCACCACCGAUGCAAGCCCAAGUUCAAGACCAAUCCCAAUGGGGUAUGAGUUAGUAGAGCUGCAUUUAGGAUGUGGAGUAUGUGGAUUCAAAACGAGCUAUGGAAACAUAUAUAUCAUACAUUAGAUAUUUUCCAAGUCUCAAUUUGUUGUGCUUAUG